rnacentral:misc_RNA from 1 species
GAUGAAGAACGUAGCAAAAUGCGAUAAGUAAUGUGAAUUGCAGAAUUCAGUGAAUCAUCGAAUCUUUGAACGCACAUUGCGCCCGCCAGCAUUCUGGCGGGCAUGCCUGUUCGUGCGUCAUUUCAACCCUCAAGCACAGCUUGGUGUUGGGACUCGCGUUAAUUCGCGUUCCCCAAAUUGAUUGGCGGUCACGUCGAGCUUCCAUAGCGUAGUAGUAAAACCCUCGUUACUGGUAAUCGUCGCGGCCACGCCGUUAAACCCCAACUUCUGAAUGUUGACCUCGGAUCAGGUAGGAAUACCCGCUGAACUUAAGCAUAUCAAAAGCGGAGGA